CUACGGGACGCUCCAGUGGGGAAUAUUGCACAAUGGGCGCAAGCCUGAUGCAGCCAUGCCGCGUGUAUGAAGAAGGCCUUCGGGUUGUAAAGUACUUUCAGCGGGGAGGAAGGGAGUAAAGUUAAUACCUUUGCUCAUUGACGUUACCCGCAGAAGAAGCACCGGCGAACUCCGUGCCAGCAGCCGCGGUAAUACGGAGGGUGCAAGCGUUAAUCGGAAUUACUGGGCGUAACGCGCACGCAGGCGGUUUGUUAAGUCAGAUGUGAAAUCCCCGGGCUCAACCUGGGAACUGCAUCUGAUACUGGCAAGCUUGAGUCUCGUAGAGGGGGGUAGAAGUCCAGGUGUAGCGGUGAAAUGCGUAGAGAUCUGGAGGAAUACCGGUGGCGAAGGCGGCCCCCUGGACGAAGACUGACGCUCAGGUGCGAAAGCGUGGGGAGCAAACAGGAUUAGAUACCCCAGUAGUC
rnacentral:rRNA from 1 species